GGCAAGAUGGCCGAGUUGGUUAUGGCGUGAGGUUAAGGUCUACCUUAGCACAAUUUCCUCAUGGAGCAAUCCGCGUGGGUUCAAGUCCCACUCUUGUCA
rnacentral:tRNA from 1 species